ACUACACUAAACCAUUUUCAAGUCAUUAAUUCACUUCUCAAGUAACUACACUUGAUUAAUUUGAAGUCACUAGUACACAUUUAAAAACACUACACACAACCAUUUUUAACUCUCUAAUUAACUUCUCAAGUGACUAAACUUAAUCAAUUUCAAGUCAUGAAUUAACAUUUCAAGUAUGAACACUAAACCAAUUUCAAGUCAUGAAUUUACAUUUUCAAGUGAUUACACUUUACAAAUUUUAAAACACAAGUUCACCUUUCAAGAACUACACUAAACCAUUUUCAACUCGAUGAUCCACUUUUCAAGUGACUAGUACACAUUUCAAAACGCUAUACUUAACCAUUUUCAACUCUCUAAUUCACUUCUCAAGUGACUAAACAUAACCAUUUUUAAGUCAUGAUUCACAUUUCAAGUAUCAACACUAAACCAAUUUCAAGUCAUGAAUUCACAUUUUCAAGUGAUUACACUUUAAAAAUUUUAAAAUACAAGUUCACCUUUCAAGAACUACACUAAACCAUUUUCAACUCGAUGAUCCACUUUUCAAGUGACUAGUACACAUUUCAAAACGCUAUACUUAACCAUUUUCAACUCUCUAAUUCACUUCUCAAGUGACUAAACAUAACCAUUUUUAAGUCAUGAUUCACAUUUCAAGUAUCAACACUAAACCAAUUUCAAGUCAUGAAUUCACAUUUUCAAGUGAUUACACUUUACAAAUUUCAAAACACAAAAGUUCACCUUUCAAGAACAACACUAAACUAUUUUCAAAUUGCUAAUCCACUUUUCAAGUGCCUAGUACACAUUUCAAAAAACUACACACAACCAUUUUCAACUCUCUAAUUCACUUCUCAAGUAACUAAACUUAACCAAUUUUAAGUCAUUAAUUCACUUUUCAAGUAUCAACACAAAACCAAUUUCAAGUAAUGAAUUCACAUUUACAAGUGAUUACACUUUUAAAAUUUUAAAACACAAGUUUACCUUUCAAGAACUACACUAAACCAUUUUCAAGUCGGUAAUCCACUUUUCAAGUGACUAGUACACAUUUCAAAAUACUACACUUAACUAUUUUCAAAUCUCUAAUUCACUUCUCAAGUGACUAAAUAUAACCAUUUUCAUGUCAUGAAUUCACAUUUCAAGUAUCAACACUAAAUCAAUUUCAAGUCAUGAAUUCACAUUUUCAAGUGAUUACAUUUUAUAAAUUUCAAAACACAAGUUCACCUUUUAAGAACUACAUUAAACCAUUUUCAAGUCGCUAAUACACUUUUCAAGUGACU
rnacentral:lncRNA from 1 species